AAAAAAAAUAAGAAAUAAAAUUCUCUACCAGAAAUUUUGUUGAUUGGCGGAAAUUACAUCGGCAAGGAUUUUUAUGGAUAAAAAGAAAGUCGAGAUAAUACGGACGAGUUUCGAUUUUCGAGCUUCCGACGUUCGUCUCUGCGUUGGGACCUCGUGAAACGACGUGAAAGGGUAGUGCGAAUGAGGCGAACGCUUUCAAACCGAUGAGAUGACAGUGCUGUGCGUGCUGUGGGCUACUCUGUCCACCGUUGCAUCGAUCCUAGCGUGUUCUGGCUUUUAUUUGCCUUAUUGGAUACAGGGACGACUACUGGGAAAGGCCGACGCGUACUUCAGUUCCUUUCGACGUUGCAACUAUCCACGAAUCAGAGCACCUAACGCUACACCUGAGAUAGUUUACCAGUGUGCAAGGUACUCUAGUUUCUGGGAUAUACCAAGUGCAUGGUGGCAAGCCAGUACGGUAACGAUGGGGAUCGGUGUAUCGAUCGCAGUGAUCGGUGCUUUGACUCUUCUAGCAGCUGCAUCUUCUUUUCUACCGCAUAUUCUAAGGACUCCGAAGCAUACGAGGCUUCUUGGUUCCAUUCAUUUCAUAGCAGCUGCAAUGAUAUGUGGUGGUUUGGUGAUGUACCCUAUUGGAUGGGACAAUCAAGAAGUACGUGAGUCCUGCGGCAAAGCUGCGAACGUGUACAAUCUCGGCAAAUGCUCGUUGUCCUGGUCCAGCCCCCUCCUCAUCGGCUCGGUAAUCUUGCUGAUGCUGUGCUUCGGUCUGAGUUUCUGUGCUGCCCGAUACAAGCCGUCAAACUCCCACACGGAUCCCUUGCGCAUUUGACAAUCGAUUCGCGCCUACGCUUCGCCGAAGACGACGACAACUGCUCUCUCUUUCCUCGCCGCUGUUGAUCGUCACUCUGAUGUAGUCACCUGAUGACAUACGUAUAUACCGUGGCACGCUUAUCUCCGGCAAAGCUGCGUUGCCGUUCCUGGAUUCCACUACCCUUUCGCGUGGACACUUGUCUCCCAGGGGUUUUAGGUCGUAAACAAAUACUUCGAAAGAGAGAAACACAUUUAUCUUCUACGAAGGUGAAAAAGUGGGGGAGUGGGGACGGGAAGAAGGGAGCGAUUUGCUGGAGUGGAAAAGGAAAAGAAGAAGAAGAAGAAGAGGAAGGAGGGGCAAGGAAGAGAAGGUUUAACGAAUUACAAUACCGACGAGUAAAAACGCCGAAGCUGCUCAACGAGCGAGUUAUUUUCCUUCUACUUCUAUUAUUUUCUAUGUACGUGUGCGCACAUAGUAUGUAUGUAUGGAUGUGUGUGUGUGUAUGUGUGCUCGUGUUUGUUUAGUCCGAUCGAUCGAUUCCUCAAAAAUCCUAAAGACUCUCUCGUUCAUUAUGGAUUCGCCAACUUAGGGAUUAUCACGAAGAGAUAGUUUCUUUAAGGAUCGGAAUAAAGGAUACGCGUGUGAACCCUUUUCAAGGCUAAUCUGUAUUACAAAGAAAAAAGAAGAGAGAGAAAAAAAGGAGAGAAAAGAAAAAAAAGGGCGAUUGAAAGAACAUCGUGGAUAAUAUUAUCUCGAUAUGAAUAAAAAUGAAGGUUGAACUUUGUCAGGACUUGCUGAAAUCGUGGUUAAACUUGUAAAAGGGUGAUUAUUUCUUUAAAAAGAAAAGCAAUGUAGAAAUUAAAAUUUUUUUCAAUUGUAUAUAUAGGUCGUAUAUUUCCUCGAUAAUAGGGGAGCACGCAUUUAUUUAUUAUUUUUAUUUAUUAUCUUAAAAAAAAUCAUCUAAAAUUGUACCUCGGAUUUGUUUUGUUAUUUAAUUUUUUAAACCAUAAUUCUCUAAUUUUUAUUAAUUUUACUUUUUCUAAUGGAUAGACAUAACUUUUCAAGUUGACCACGAUUAUUAUCUCACGGCUUGUAUGCUACGCUUAAGUACGUACAUACGUGUGUGUGCACGUAUGUUGUAUACAUAUACAAAUACAAUAUCGUCAGGAUCUCUCGUAAUAACAUUUCGUAUCGAGUUUACUUAAUUCUUCGCGCGAUGCAAGUUGGAAAUUCGUAAAGCAAUUUCUGCUAUUGUGUAAGCUCUCUUCAUUUUGCUAUCUCGCAUGAAUGAGCUUAUGGUUCUAACGACCUUACACAGCACACACCGAAUCGACCAUCGACGUUCCCAUAACGUUUUGCAUUACAAAGAGAAGAUAUAUAUCAUCGUCACGUAAUAUUUCAUUAACUACAAAGUUUUCGUAACGAAGUUAAAUUUGUUAAUAUGUUACACAAAUCUUAUCUAUUAUAUAUAUGUGUGUGUGCACGAAUUAACCGAGCGUUUUAUAAUUCAUACUUUUUUUUCGAAUUAUACGAAAAAGAGAAGAGAAAAAGAAUACAAUGGAAUUUAAUGAUUGAAAAAUCAUCAAACGUACCCAUAUACUUUUCUAAAUAAGUUUUAACCUAUUUACUUAUUUCUUUAUGUCAUAAAUUUAAUUUAAAAACGCGUACUCACGCGUCAGAACGUCUGCUCAAAUAUAUUAUAAUGAAAAGCGAGAAAAUUUUGAGAUUAUGAGGUAAAUGCAAUUUUGUUUGUAUAUAGUAAGCAUAUAGAUACACACACACACACACGCAUACGUAUAUAUACCUGGUAUAUAUAUAUAUACACCUAUAGGAAUGAAAAAAUGCACUCGGUCUGCUGUAAUGAAACGAUUUCACGCUCGCAAGAUCGUACAUCGACCCUUCUAUAUUUGUUUUGCGCAUCGAUUCGAAUACCAGACGAUUUUAUCAGCCCCAUCGCAUUUUGAUUAUUGAGCAUAUCGUCCUUGAUAAUCCGUAAUCUAACUGGGAGCAUCGGCUUCGAAGCAUUGCUCGAAAUCUAAUUAUUCUUCAUUAUCCCUUUGCAAAGUGGAUAUCCAUCGUUGAAAAGAAAGAAUAAAGCGUUUCGCGACGUGGAACAGACAAUUGUUAAAAAAGGAGACAGAUGUAUAUGCACGUUACGUAAACGUGAGGAUGAAAUAAUGUAUGCAAUAGAAAGAGAAAAAGAGAGAGAGAGAAAAAGAAAGAGAGAGAGCAUGUACUUUGUCUGCACAUUAAUAUAACAAGAGCGUUAAGUAUUCCUCUUUUUCUGACCAUUUAAACCGUAUGAAAGAUUCAUCCUCUCAAUAAAAAAAUAUUCCAGAGAAAUAUUGUAAAAAAAUUUUGGAAAAAGUUCUACCAAAGCGUGCGCGAGGAGUACGAUAAGCGAUUAUAAAAUUAAUGGUUCUAUCGAAGUUAAAGAUAAAUAUGUAUCUAUAUACGCGUACGUACGUAUGUUGAAUCUUUAAAAUAUCAUAAUAAAGUUAAUAAUCCGAAAAAAAGCGGUCUUUAUGAAACGAUAUAAUCGUUUUAAUUGUAAUACUAAAAGUAAGAUCUUCUUAACGGCUUGUUACGUUUUUUCUUUUUUCCUUUUUACCAAAGGAAUGACGAAAUAUUAUGCGUAUGUUGUUGGCGAUUGUACAUAUUAUUAAAUAAAUAUAUAAAUAUAUACAUACAUACGUGCAUGCGAUCACGUGUACAUACGUGUUAUUAUAGAUAUUCGAUGUGACGUAAAUGUUAAAUAUUAUUAUAUUUUAUAAUAAAAGCGAGAAAAAAAA